UACGGAGGGUGCGAGCGUUACUCGGAAUCACUGGGCGUAAAGGGCGCGUAGGCGGUCUAGCAAGUCUGGUGUGAAAGCCCAGGGCUCAACCCUGGAAGGGCACUGGAAACUGCUAGGCUUGAGUUCCGGAGAGGAGGGGGGAAUUCCCGGUGUAGCGGUGAAAUGCGUAGAUAUCGGGAGGAAUACCGGUGGCGAAGGCGCCCCUCUGGACGGAGACUGACGGUGAGGCGCGAAAGCGUGGGGAGCAAACAGG
rnacentral:rRNA from 1 species